rnacentral:rRNA from 1 species
AGCAGCCGCGGUAAUUCCAGCUCCAAUAGCGUAUAUUAAAGUUGCUGCAGUUAAAAAGCUCGUAGUUGAAUUUCGGGACUAAUAUGUCGGUCGUGCCUCGGUACGUACUGGUAUUUUUGGUUUCUCCCUUCUGACGAACCUUGAUGUCAUUAAUUUGGUGUCUUGGGAAAUCAGGACUGUUACUUUGAAAAAAUUGAGUGUUUAAAGCAAGCUAACGCUUGAAUACAUUAGCAUGGAAUAAUGAAAUAGGACGUUCGAUCCUAUUUUGUUGUUCUAGGAUUGACGUAAUGAUUAAUAGGG